rnacentral:rRNA from 1 species
GACGAACGCUGGCGGCGUGCCUAACACAUGCAAGUCGAACGGAGAUACGAUUUCGGUUGUAUCUUAGUGGCGAACGGGUGAGUAACGCGUGAACAACCUGACUCUAAGAGGGGGAUAACACUCGGAAACGGGUGCUAAUACCGCAUAAGACCACGACCCGGCAUCGGGAUGAGGUCAAAGGAGCAAUCCGCUGAGAGAGGGGGUCGCGUCCCAUCAGAUAGAUGGCGGGGUAACGGCCCACCAUGUCAACGAUGGGUAGCCGAGCUGAGAGGCUGAUCGGCCACACUGGAACUGAGACACGGUCCAGACUCCUACGGGAGGCAGCAGUGGGGAAUAUUGGGCAAUGGGCGCAAGCCUGACCCAGCAACGCCGCGUGAGGGAAGAAGGCUUUCGGGUUGUAAACCUCUGUCCUUGGUGACGAAACAAAUGACGGUAGCCAAGGAGGAAGCCCCGGCUAACUACGUGCCAGCAGCCGCCGUAA